UUUUGAUAAUUGGCCUUUCAUUGACAAAAACAGGUUUGAGCGAAGCGAAAGGACAGUUCGUUUUACUGUCUCCUUCUGUGGCCACUCAAUUGGGAUUUUACCUGAGGUUCAGCUGUUGUAGCUAUUUCAGUAUUUUCUUCUGCUUCCCAUUCAUUUUUUGAAGCAGGGCUGGAAUCUGAGUGACAACCAAAUUGGAAGAUUCAGUUACUACGAAAGAAAUCAUGCGAUUAGUCGUGAAGAUAUUACUCACCUUGGAUUUGUCGCGUCAAUCCAUCCAUCAUCAAGGCAAAUAAAAAUGGACUAAGAGCUGAUCCUUGAUGCAACCCCAUCACAACUAGAAAGUGCUCUGAGUCUCCUCCUACUGUCCUUACCCUGUUUUUGGCACCCUCAUACAUGUUCUUGAUCACCCUAAUGUACGCCACAAAUACACCUUUAGCCUCUAAACAUUUUCAUAGUAUCUCUCGUAGAACUUUAUCGUAAGCCUUUUCUAGGUCGAUGAAUACCAUAUGCAAAUCCUUCUUCCUCUCCCAAAGAAGGAGAUAUCACAAGAAGAAAACCCCCAAGUUACUUCUCAAAAAACCAAAAAACAAAUACCACAUAACCUCAACAAAAUAUUCGAAAAACCCUAUAGAAACCCAUGGAUUGAAAAACAACCAUUGUGUGUACCACCUCAAGUUACCAGUUAUGCGGAAAGCCUACAUACCCAAAAAUAGACCUACAACCAUGUAACCAGAUCAUAUAUUGAGAACCUUUACAAAAUCUCUAGUUACUUAAACAAAAACCCAGUACAAGAUGAAGAAUUAUUCCAGCAACAUAAAGAAUAUAUAACCCAAAUGAAUAAAGGAUACAAUAAGUUUAUUGCUUUACCAGAUACAAAACCUCAGUUAAUUAGAAUUUAUUUUGGUUAUGGACUACUUAGUGUAAUCUAUACCCAAUCAGGAAAAGAGAGAGUUAUUCCCAAAAUUAUACCAAAAAUUCCUCGAUUACAAAAGGAUUACUAAAGCCAAGUUAUUUUAUUUAAAAUGUUACUCAGCAAUGGUAGAAAUUAUGUUUGACAAAAUUAACCCAGUUAUUACAGUCAUCAAUAUUGGCGUUACAAGGAAUAUGACCAUUCCGUCCAAGAUAUCAGAACAACCAGAGAUAACAAAACCAGAAAUUUCAGAAUUCUUCUCUCACAAAAGAGUUAUUGGACUAGGAACUACAAUCCAGGAGUUAGCAGGUGUAUUUGUCAACAACAAUCAUGUGUGGAAAUACUAUGACAGAGACCAAACAUUAAUUUACAGCAAUUAACGCGAAGGUAAGAUCCAAGAUAUGGAAGAUGUACGAAGAUGGGCAAUGACAUUACUUAACCUAGAAGUUAUGCCAGUCACUAGAGCAAUCAAGAAAGAGUUAUAUCACCAGAGCUAUUAUCAAUGUUUUGCAAGAUAGUUGGACAAAAAUACCCUGACCACAGUUGCAGUAGAUGCGGUGGAGAAAAUAAUGUAAUACCAGAAGCUACAAUAAUUGAAGACAUGAUGAAGACAAGUACAAGUGGAAAACAAGAAAAAGAAGAAAGGACGAUGUGACCCCACAAUGAAGACGUCCACUAACCCAGAAGAUAAGAAGGAAUCUUAAGAGAUAAGGUUUAGAGAUAAGGACUCAACGAAGUCCAUACACGUGUAAAUAAUAAUGUAAAUAGUGAUUAAGACAACAUCCUUACUCUGUGUAUAUAAUGAGAAGGAUUUUAGUUUAGAAAGGCAUCGAAGCCUAUAAAAUCUAUCUAGUUACAUUGUAAACAAAAUUUAUCUAAUAAAAGUUAUCAAAAUUUCAAGCA